AGCGGCUCAGGAUGGGCGGGUACUGCGUGCAGCUGGCAGAAAGAAGGCAGGGGUCGCCUUUGGCCUCGGUGCUCGCGGAUUGGGCACCUGGGGGCACCGGCCCUGGGCCGGGAGCCCUCCCUCCAACCUCGGAGGCUGCCCUUAGCCACCUCUCCCCCCUCCCUUACAGAGGGGGAAACUGAGGCGCACAGCAGCAGGUUAGUGUAUGACAGGUGAUCCAUCUGCUCUCCUACGGAUGGCCUCUUGCGUGGUAUCCAGGUGUCUGCUAAUUUGAAGGGCUGUUUGAACAUUCUGAAAGUGGAUUGAAGGAGGUGAGGAGAGAAGUGGGGAGAUUGGUGGAGGCUCCCACAGUCCCGGCGAGGGCUGAUGGUCGCCUGGGCCAGGGUGCUGGCUUUGGUGAAGAAGGAACAGGUUCCAGAAUAUUCUAGAGCCAGGUGACCAAGGUCGACAUGAGCAGUGAUACAUGACUGCUGUGAUGGUGAUGGAAGUGGCCCUUCACCUCUGUGGGCUUUCUCCCGAAACACACCACCCCUGUCUAAUCAUCCGAAGAACAUCCGACAAAUCCCACUUGAAGGACAGUCUACAAAAUACAUGACAAAUACUUCUCAAAACUGUCAAGGUCAUCAAGUACAAGGAAAGCCUGAGGAACUGUCACAGCCCAGAGGAGCCUACGGAGACGUGACAACUAAAUGUAACGUGGUGUUCUGGAUGGGGUCCUGGGACAGAAAAAGGACAUUAGGGAAAACUUAAGGAAACCCAAAUAAAGCAUGGACUUCAGUUAAUAAUAAUAUAUGGUGUUGGUUCAUUAACUGUGACAAAUGCAUCACACAAGAUGUUAAUAAUAGAGGAAGUUGGAUGUGAGUAGUAUGUGGAACUCUCUGCCACUUUCACAAUUUUUCUCUACAUCUAAAACUAUUCUAAAAUGUAACGUUUAUUUAAAAAAUUUCAAGGGUGGACAUGAGAUUGCUAACUUUUUAUUUUAACUAAUGAAGACAUUAAAAACCUCACCAAGCCACUUCCUCUCCCCAUUGUUUGAUAAAAGGAUGUCAUAGCAGAAGGAAGGCCUCCAUCUCGGAAUAAAGGACAAGGUGGAGAUGGAGUAAGUCCAGGUUAAUGAAGAAUUCAGACUCUUAAUUGUUCUCAUCUUGCCAAGGACCUAUGAGAAGGCUGGGGCUGGCCUUAGCCCUGGAGAAUGUGGGUGGAGCGAGCGAUGGUUAGAGAAGGCCAUGGCGGAGGACACCAGACACUCGACCAAAGCUGGAGGGGGAUUCUGUAGGGAAGGUACUAGGGGAGCCGUGAUGGGUGGUGGCAGAGGUGGCUGGUGGUCAGGGUUCAGCGCCAGGAGAGGGAGAUAACCACCUCGGGUGGCCUGGGGAUUAGGGUUUUCCUGGGCCCUGGACCUUCGGUUUUACCUGGGACAGUCCUGGGCCAGCUGGGCCGGUUGGUCCCCCUAACCAAGCAGGUGGGUCAGGGGACAGGAGACAGCACAACCCAAUCCUCAGGGGACGGCAUCAGCCCUCAGCAGCUGUCCGUGGCCUCUUGGAAAGGGACAGGCAGGCCCUAUGUGGCCAUAUCUUGUGGAAUUUAUUAUUUUUUUCAAGAGAAGCUAGAAAUCUGUUUAAACAAACAAACAAACAAAACUCUCCGGUUUCAAAUGUGGGCAGCUAAUUCAAACAACUGUGAAAUGCUUUUCAGGCCGAAGGAAGCACAGUGCCUCCCUGUGGCCCCCAGGCUGCCAGUUUGAGACCUCUGGAGUAGUUGUGACUUGGGUCCUUGAGCUGGUCCCUUGGGCUCCUCUGAGCUUCAGUUGCCCUGACUGUGAAAGGGGAACAGUUUUGCCUCCUUCAGGGCGGUGUGAUUUGUCUGCAAAUCGAGUGUUCAGACCGGCACACAGGAAGUUUUCCGUCAACAGGAACACACAAGUGGCAACGACAGAAAUGUCCCUCAAGGAAUGAAUGGACAAACAAUGUGGCAGCCUUAAGGAGGCAUGAUGACAUGUCAGGACACGGGUGAAUCUUGAAACCAUCGUGCUCAGGGAAAGAAGCUCAUCGCUAAGGACCACAUACUAUAUGAGUCCAUUUCUAUGAAACAUUCAGAAUAGGCAAAUCCAUGAAGACAGAAGUUAGUGGUUGCCAAGGGCUGCGGGAGUUGGGGAAACUGGGAUGGGGGAGGCAAUUGCUAAUGAGUAUGUGGUUUUUGGGGAAGGGUAAUGAAAAUGUCCUAAAACUGGUGGUGGUGACGAUUGCACAACUCUGUGACU